rnacentral:misc_RNA from 1 species
AAACUGUGUUACUUGGUGAAAUAUGCAAGAAACGCUAAGUAUUUCGAACGCACUGCGCCGUUGGUGCUUCUGUACCUUCGGCACGUAUGUCUGAGAUUGUAAUUGUACUUCGAUCGAGUUCACGCUCAAUCGUUACACUGGUGUUUCUCGCGAGACGCUGUAUGUGGUUGCGCAGUGGCCGGCCUUCACGGGCUGGUAGCUGUGUGUUAGCCCGUCGAACAUCCUUGUGGAGACUAUGUUCCGCUUGCGGUCGUGGUUACCACGCGGGGCGUUCGGCGUUCGGCUUACCUGUCGAUUUGAUACUCAGACAUGCGUGAUUUCCCGCUGAACUUAA